rnacentral:rRNA from 1 species
ACGGGAGGCAGCAGUGGGGAAUAUUGCGCAAUGGGCGGAAGCCUGACGCAGCGACGCCGCGUGGGGGAUGACGGCCUUCGGGUUGUAAACCUCUUUCGGCCCCGACGAAGCGAUAAGUGACGGUAGGGGUAGAAGAAGCACCGGCCAACUACGUGCCAGCAGCCGCGGUAACACGUAGGGUGCGAGCGUUGUCCGGAAUUAUUGGGCGUAAAGAGCUCGUAGGCGGUGUGUCGCGUCGGCCGUGAAAACCUGUGGCUUAACUGUGGGCUUGCGGUCGAUACGGGCAUCACUGGAGUUCGGCAGGGGAGACUGGAAUUCCUGGUGUAGCGGUGAAAUGCGCAGAUAUCAGGAGGAACACCGGUGGCGAAGGCGGGUCUCUGGGCCGAUACUGACGCUGAGGAGCGAAAGCGUGGGGAGCGAACAGGAUUAGAUACCCUGGUA